CCAGCGCAGACUCCUGCACCUCCGCCCCCACCCCUGUUCCCAUGGCAAAGGGAAGGCGGCAUCCACUUACUGCUCGUGUUCAUGGCGAUGCCUCGGCACGGGUCUUUCAUUCAACACGGAGGCCCUAGUUGCCUUCUAAAUCUUCUCUUCUUGGCACCUCACGCAUCACCUGGGGGUGGGGUGGGUGAAAAGGCAGUCACUGCCAGCUCCGCUUCCUCAGGUGCUCUCUCCCGCCGCUGUCUCCUCUCAGCCUGGGCUGGCGCCACUGGCCUUGAAGGUGCUCUCUCCCGCUGCUGUCGCCGCUGAGUCUAGCUGGAGCCACUGGCCUUGAAGGUGAGUGGACUAAUAAGGCGCAGGUGAGAGCAGGGAGGAGGAGGAGGAGGAGGAGGCCGGAUGCUAACCUGGGGAGAAGGGGGGCUGCCAGUGCCUGGUCACACACCACCGCGGAGGACGGGGAACUCCUGCCCAGAGCUCUGCGAUCGGCUCAUGAACCUUGGUACUUUCUAGGGUGUCGAAUUCCAAGGCGAGCUAAGCGAAAUAGGAGAGCGGGACGUCCACGAUGCCAGCUGGUGGGUUGACGCGAGAAGCGGCGGGGGUAGCAGGGGCUUUGGGGUGGGCUGGAGGGGGACGCGGCCGCUCGCGGCUGCCACCUGCUGGACGCGCUGGCGCGUCGCUGAGGCGCCGCCCUGCCUGGGCUUCUCCCUGGCCGCUGGGUGUGCUGGCGGGACGACAGAGCCAACCAGGGUGCUUGAGCGUCUAUUCUCUCCUCGGUACUGGGGUCUAGAUUGGGAGAUAGAGUAAUUGGGAGCUGCUGUAAAGAGAGUUUUGCGGGAAGACAGUUUCCACCGCCAGCCCUGCUAACAAACAUGUUUUUUCAGUUUUAAACAGGGCACAGUUGUCUUUUCUUUUUUCAUUGGUCGCCUUCAACUGUAGAAUGUGGCGUCUGGACCCAUGGGUGAGAAGUUAGAGAUUUCUUGAGCCUGCUCUCUUAUGUCCCUGCACUCUCCAUCAGGUUAAAACUACCUUGCCUUUUACCCAACCGCUAAUUACUUUAUUGCUCUUUUAUCAUCUCUGUCCUCUGGUUUGAAACGACAGUUUUGUCUGCUGGAUUUGCUGCUGUACACCUUCCCCCCUCCCACUCUAGACUAGUGUCUGGCACAUAGUUGGUGCUUAAUAAAGUAUUUGUUAAAUGUAUGGCCCAGGUCAUCUUUAGGAUUUCUUCCACUCUCCAUGCUCCAGGCUUCUAUGAGUGUAGGCUGCAUUAUUCCUCUCCAAAAGCAGUAACUAGGGAAAUCUGAUUGUGCCCUGGCCAAGAGCCCAGGCGCUGGAUUCUGCCUGCCUGGCUCUGAAUCCUGGCUCCAUCGUUGGUGAGCUGUGUGACCUUGACUAAUUUACUCAGUCUCCCAAGAGCCUCAGCUUCUUCACCUGUUAUUUGGGGAUGAUAGUACCUACCUCAUGAGUUGUUAUGUGUUAUACGAGUAAAACCAUUGAAGUGCUACUGUAGUGCAUCUGUGUGAAGUCCUCAACGUAUGCUAAUUUUUAUCAUUGUUCACCUACCCCGGCCCUGUGUGACCAGCCCCUCAGCUCUCUUUCUACUCGCGCUGGCUGGCUCUUUCCACAGUUCAAGCCCUUCUCCUAGU
ensembl:lincRNA